CGAGGAGGCACGGCCACGUAAAAUAAAAGUUCGGUGGGAUUUUCUCGCGAAACAAACGGAUGGAGUAGAAAUUCACCGUGUUUUUGCCUCCAAAAACCUGACAUCAUUUGCCAAGAAAGCAGAGGAGAGUGACAAUGGGAGCAUCAUCUUCGAUAGUGCAGAAGGGUACGAGCGAACAACGAGAGGUGGAAAGUCUAGCUGCUUCCACAGGAGCUAUGCCGAUGCUUCAAAAUUCUUUCUCCAAGCUUGUCAAUCCUCAAACAAAUGCCAUUCCUCUUCAAUCCCUUCAGCAAGUCUUCUGUUUAAAUUAUAAAAACCCAGAUUGUGAGGCAUCCAACAUUCCUGAUUGCUUUCCGGGAUUGUUGGAUCAUUUGGGUGCAUCCAUAGUGGACCUAUUUUUCAUCACUGGGAGAGAAGGAGUCAGUUGGAUUGAGUUUUUGAGAGGUUAUUUGAAAUGUUGUGGGAGGAUGCCUGCCUCAAUGGCUCUCAACGCUUUGCUGAGAGUAUUUGCCACAACCUUUACAAAAGCCGGUCUUCCUUUGAAACUGGAGUUCGAAUCCAGCGAUGAUGAUUGUAAGAUAAGUGGGUCUUUUCUAGCCACUGAUGUUCUUAUGCUUCUCUGGAUGUGUUGGACUAUGUUGUGGGAUUCCAGUACUUCAAGAUGUACGAAAGGCAAAGAAAAUCUACGUCUCCCAGAUGUUAAUCACUUAAUACUAUCAGCAGUUGUUUCGUGUACUGAAGUUGACAGUGGUUUCAAUUUGUGGGAUUGUGGCAUCUCAGCCUUGGAAGUUGAGCUUCCCGUUGGGAAGUUUCUUACCUGGGACUUGACAACAGUACCAAGCCUCACAGAUUGCUUCACACAUUUUGUUAAUGUGAGACUUCAAAAUUCAGUUUCUUCGGAGGUUAAGUCAGAACUUUCAUCUUCAUCAUUAGGAAAAAUCCCUCCAAGAGAGGUAUGCAAUAUUCAUCUACUAACUCAUGGAAGAGCAUGGGCAAUUUCUCUUUCACUCAAGGGUACAAUAAGUGCAGAAAUUUUGAAACCGCACUUACCUAGCGACAGUGAUGAGACUUUAGAAAAUCUUCUAUACCGGUUUGUCAUCCUUCCCUUCUGGUAUUUACAUUACAUGACACACCUGUAAGUAUGUUUUGCUUCCCUCAUUUUCCAGGGUUUCACAUUUUAUCUCUAGUUAGUGAUUAGCUUACUACUGCAUUAAAUUUUACAGACAAAUGUUUAUUUCCCACUACUUUGUAGGUCUUCUUUUCAUGGGAGGGGCUUGAACAGAUUCUGGUCUAACAUUGAGGGUUAUCAUGGACCAUUGCUGUUUUUAGUUUCUGCUGCCGCUGGAGAUGUCCAUGAGGAUAGUACCAGUGUCAGAAAAUGGAUCAUAGGUGCACUGACACAGCAGGGUUUUGAAAAUAAGGAUAUGUUCUAUGGAAGCUCUGGAAGCCUAUAUGCCAUAAGUCCAAUCUUCCAUGUUUUUUCACCUUCUGGGAAAGAUAAGAAGUUUGUUUACAGCCACUUGCAUCCUACCAGCCGAGCUUAUGAGCCACAUCCCAAGCCGGUGGGAAUUGCAUUUGGAGGAACCAUUGGGAAUGAGAGAAUAUGUAUCGAUGAAGAUUUUGCUAGAGUUACUGUCCGCCAUCAUGCAGUUGACAAAACUUACCAACCUGGUUCCCUUUUCCCAUCUCAGGUGGUAGUGUAUAUACUAUGCUACAACAAAUAGCUAAGUUUUAACAUAGAUGAGCAUGGAUCCAAAAUUAUCAUCUGAUUUUAAUUAUCAAAUGCCAAUAUUUGAACAAAUUAAAUUGGUGUAAUUCAAAUACGUAAUGACGAUGCCAUUUAAUAUUUUAUGAGUAAUCCAACAUUUUUUUUCCUUUUUAAAUGUACUUAUCUUUGGUCUCCAUCUGCAGCAUUAGUGAGUUAAUUAUCAAUAAUUUUUUACUACAUUUAUUAAUCAUUAUAUCCCUUGGUUUAAUUUGUACUUGACAAGUAUAUAUGUGCGCCUUGGGGGGGAAGGUCUCACCAAAUGCUGUCCCUGAUAUUAUCUCUCGUUAUCAUCCCUGGAGAGAUAGUGUAUAUGAAAACUUAAGGUCCAGAUUACCACUUUCAAAGCUUCACUUGACUUCUAAACAUGAAUCUGUGCUGCAGGGUUUCCUCGCAGUUGAAGCUUUGAUCUCUGAAGUUGAAGUUUGGGGAUUGGGUGGGAGGACAGCAAAGGAAGUCCAAGCUUCAUUUAAGAAAAGAGAGGAACUUUUCAUUGAGCAUAGACGCAAGGUAAUCUUCCAAGUUCAGGUUAAGGCAAUUGUUGAUAUUUGCAAGCAAGUGGGAAGAAACAUAUUAUCUGGUCACUUUUUGGCAGGCUAACUUGAAAACUUUUGCAAGCUGGGAGGAUUCCCCUGAGAAAAUGAUGAUGGAUAUGAUGUCUGACCCCAAUGCAGUACGAAGGGAAGAUCGCUGAAUAAAAUUGUGCAAGAUGCCUUUUUUCGGAGAGUGUAAUAAUCAUGUACAAGAGUAAGUUAGAUUAGGUGGAGUGGAUAGUCCUGUGUUAGUGUGUUUCUUCAUCAUGUGGCUGUACAAAUUUCUAGAGAAGAGUUGUUAUCCAAUCAAAGCCUGGAAUGUACAAGUGUGACGCUGACCUCUGGGAUAUAUUCAAACCUUAAAAGCUCCUGAAAGUUGUAAUUAUAAAAUAAUCAACAUAAAAGUUAAAUGUACCAGUUCAUUUGUGUGUGAAAAUAAGAUUCUGCUGUUUUUGCUUGUGUUAAA
rnacentral:misc_RNA from 1 species